GAUGAACGCUAGCUACAGGCUUAACACAUGCAAGUCGAGGGGCAGCAUGAAAGUUUGCUUGCAAACUUUUGAUGGCGACCGGCGCACGGGUGAGUAACACGUAUCCAACCUGCCGAUUAUUCCGGGAUAGCCUUUCGAAAGAAAGAUUAAUACUGGAUAGCAUAACGAGAAGGCAUCUUCUUGUUAUUAAAGAAUUUCGAUAAUCGAUGGGGAUGCGUUCCAUUAGUUUGUUGGCGGGGUAACGGCCCACCAAGACAUCGAUGGAUAGGGGUUCUGAGAGGAAGGUCCCCCACAUUGGAACUGAGACACGGUCCAA
rnacentral:rRNA from 1 species